rnacentral:lncRNA from 1 species
GAUAAGUUUUAUUCUUGGGGUUUUGCCAAGCACCCCUCAGCCCCUAUCAGAUUAUGGAAAACUUAUAUACAACUAUUCCUUCAAAUUCACAUAACCAUCCAGGAGCAAGAGAGGGAACUCCAACCCCAGCUGGAUGCAGUUGCCCAUCCUAAAGCUGACCCUUUCUCUGGAUGGCCCUAAUAUAUCAGGGCCUUCAGCUUCUCAAUUUAUGCAAAGUUAAUAACAUUUCCAACUGUUUCCUCUGCGCAGGUUUGGAUCGUACUCUGUUAACUUCGAUUCCCAUUGAUCUUCUCUCAACACCUCAACUAGACCCUAAGGACCCCCCUCUCCAGCCUUUGAGGAAGUCCCUCUUUUUUGUAAUUCAUCAGGGAAUUUCCCCUACUGCUACACUGCCUCUGGUUCAGCACCCUGUGACCCAAUCAUUCUUUCAGAUUUCUUCCCCAACCUUUGUUCUGCCAGGGUUCUUUUCCUGGUGCAGUGGUACCCUAACAAAAAAUCUAAGCCUCAACAUGUCCUUUGCUUUUUGUGUUCCUUCCCCCAAUUAACUCUGUACAGUGAGGCUGAAUUAACAUGGCUUGUUACCACCUCCUUUUCCAGGGAAAGAUGGGCCGUCUCUCUAGCAAUAGGGGUUGGACUCUCCCUGGCCUCCUCACUUGCUGCCUUCAAACCAGGGGCAGGAGGACUUGGUUCUGCAGUAACCGCUACUCAGAAGCUUGAACAACAACUUUAGGAAGGGGCAGAGGCAUCGGCCGCCUCUCUCACUUCCCUACAAAGGCAAAUAACAUCCAUUGCCCAAGUUUCAUCACAGCACCGUGGAGUCCUCCAUCUCCUGACAGCAGACAAAGGAGGAACCUGUCUAUUCCUGAAAGAAGAAUGCUGCUAUUAUUUCAAUGAAACUGGAUUGGUCGAGGGCUGGGGAUGUGGCUCAAGUGGUAGCAUGCUCGCCUGGCAUGCGUGCGGCCCGGGGUUCGAUCCUCAGCACCACAUACAAACAAAGAUGUUGUGUCUGCC